rnacentral:rRNA from 1 species
CCUACGGGAGGCAGCAGUGGGGAAUAUUGGACAAUGGGGGCAACCCUGAUCCAGCGACGCCGCGUGGGUGAAGAAGGCCUGCGGGUUGUAAAGCCCUUUCGGUUGGGAAGAAAAGUUCUGACCUAACACGUCGGGACCUUGACGUAACCAACUAAAGAAGCACCGGCUAACUCUGUGCCAGCAGCCGCGGUAAUACAGAGGGUGCGAGCGUUAAUCGGAAUUACUGGGCGUAAAGCGCGCGUAGGCGGCUUUGCAAGCCGGAUGUGAAAUCCCCGGGCUUAACCUGGGAACUGCAUUCGGGACUGCAUUGCUAGAGUAUGGGAGAGGGAAGUGGAAUUUCAGGUGUAGCGGUGAAAUGCGUAGAUAUCUGAAGGAACAUCAGUGGCGAAAGCGACUUCCUGGACCAAUACUGACGCUCAUGUGCGAAAGCGUGGGGAGC